rnacentral:rRNA from 1 species
CGGGGUGAGUAAUGUCUGGGAAACUGCCUGAUGGAGGGGGAUAACUACUGGAAACGGUAGCUAAUACCGCAUAACGUCUUCGGACCAAAGUGGGGGACCUUCGGGCCUCACGCCAUCGGAUGCGCCCAGAUGGGAUUAGCUAGUAGGUGGGGUAAUGGCUCACCUAGGCGACGAUCCCUAGCUGGUCUGAGAGGAUGACCAGCCACACUGGAACUGAGACACGGUCCAG